GUUAGGGGUGUGGGAGGGCGGUGAAGUAUUUAAGGAGUCAUGUGUGAGUGUAGCUGCACACACUCCACAGUACCUUCCACCUGAGCUGUACACCUGAGUCUCACCUGAGCUUAUUACCUCAGCCAGCCAUGAAGGUCGCAUUUUUCUUCGCCGGGCUCCUCGUCCUCAUGUUCGUCGCCUCGUCCUUUGGGACUCCUGAGGUGUCAUCCCACGCCUCCUUCUCCUCGGGCGCCAGCCACGGACACAUUCCCGUGCACAGGCCCAGGCCCUACAGACCAGUGCACAGACCCCGCCCUCACAGCGGCGGGUAUGGCGGGUCAGCCGUUGGGAACGCAAACUUCAACCUUGGCGGUCCUCGUUACCACCGCUAGGGAGUAAGCGAGGGAGUUUUGGGUCUUCCUUUACUUGACUAACUGUUACUGUCUUUCACUGUACCCUCGUCGUGGGAUUUUUCCCCCAUUAUCUCUUCCUUUGUUCUCUAUACUCACUUCCCACGUAGUUUUCUUAUACUACUAUUCUUCUUUGAAUUCUUUCUGUUGUUUCGUUUUAUUUUAUGUUCUUUGCUAGUUUGUUAUUUUGUGUCUCAUUCCUACACGUCGUGCUCACACUAGUAUUCCUUCAACUUUUUUUUUAUCUUUUACUUUCUCAUCUAAUAUUUUUCCAUCUCUCCUUUUUCAUUCCUUUUUAUGUUAUGUUUUCGUUAAUUCCUUUUAUCACCUGUACCAUCUGUUCACACCUGUUGCCUCAUUAUUGCCUCAUCGCCUCACCUGUGUCUUCUCUCAGGUAUGGACUUUCUAAAAUCCAGCCUGUUUAGUAGCACACCUGUUGGUUAACCAUUUCCUUCAUGUGUAAGACCACACUUAUCUGUGUCUCUUAGUUAUUGCACACAUACUGUACACAUAGAAAAAAAAAUAAUAAAAUCAAUAUUGGCUACUUUUCGUUACCAUAGUUGUGUUAAACUUUAUUUUUCGCUGAUUAAUUUUCUUUGUUAACUCAAUACUUAUGAUAAUGUAACUCCAAAUUGUUCCAAAUUCUCAGUAUAAAAUAAAAUUAUGAAAAUACUA